rnacentral:rRNA from 1 species
UACGUAGGUGGCAAGCGUUGUCCGGAUUUAUUGGGCGUAAAGGGGGCGCAGGCGGUUCCUUAAGUCUGAUGUGAAAGCCCACGGCUCAACCGUGGAAGGUCAUUGGAAACUGGGGAACUUGAGUGCAGAAGAGGAGAGUGGAAUUCCAUGUGUAGCGGUGAAAUGCGUAGAGAUGUGGAGGAAUACCAGUGGCGAAGGCGACUUGCUGGAAUCUAACUGACGCUGAGGUACGAAAGCGUGGGGAGCAAACAGG